UACGAAGGGGGCUAGCGUUGUUCGGAAUCACUGGGCGUAAAGGGCGCGUAGGCGGCUUUGUAAGUCGGGGGUGAAAGCCUGUGGCUCAACCACAGAAUUGCCUUCGAUACUGUAGAGCUUGAGACCGGAAGAGGUUAGUGGAACUGCGAGUGUAGAGGUGAAAUUCGUAGAUAUUCGCAAGAACACCAGUGGCGAAGGCGGAUCAGUGGCCCGGUACUGACGCUGAGGUGCGAAAGCGUGGGGAGCAAACAGG
rnacentral:rRNA from 1 species